AGAGUUUGAUUAUGGCUCAGGAUGAACGCUAGCUACAGGCUUAACACAUGCAAGUCGAGGGGCAGCAGGACGAUAGCUUGCUAUGUUGCUGGCGACCGGCGCACGGGUGAGUAACGCGUAUCCAACCUUCCCCUUAGUAGGGCAUAGCCCGGUGAAAAUCGGAUUAAUACCCUACGUUUUCCAAUGAGGACAUCUGAGCUGGAACAAAGAUUUAUCGCUAAGGGAUGGGGAUGCGUCCGAUUAGGUAGUCGGCGGGGUAACGGCCCACCGAGCCCUCGAUCGGUAGGGGUUCUGAGAGGAAGGUCCCCCACACUGGUACUGAGACACGGACCAGACUCCUACGGGAGGCAGCAGUGAGGAAUAUUGGUCAAUGGGCGUAAGCCUGAACCAGCCAAGUAAGCGUGCAGGAUGACGGCCCUAUGGGUUGUAAACUGCUUUUAUACGGGGAUAAAGUGAGGGACGUGUCCCUUAUUGUAGGUACCGUAUGAAUAAGGACCGGCUAAUUCCGUGCCAGCCGCGGC
rnacentral:rRNA from 1 species